ensembl:lincRNA Gm29291 predicted gene 29291
GAAAAUUGACGGGAGCAUGCCAGAGGAACUCAGGAUGAAGUGAAGAGCCUGCAGUGGGGAGAUCUAGAAGCAUCGGAGCCAUAAAGAGGAUGAAAUGACAGCCGACCUCUCACGGAGUGCUGAUGACUGAAAGGAAGUGAGUUAAGACUGCCCUCUGUUUGCCACGCCCAUGCCACUGGGACCAGGAACUGUGCAAGUUCUGUGUAAGUUGUACAUCUGAAGGAGACAUUUCACUUCUGAGUGCCACCGUUGCAGGUUGACAGGUACACUGGAUAAUAAUGAGGUGGAGCACUCAGAACUGAGCCACACUGUGACACAGAAGUCGUUAAUGAAGUGAAGAUGUUUAGCCAGGACUGCUGCAGAGACUCCAGAAAUAAGAGUUAUCUUCAAAGACUUGACAGCGGUCACUAGAGAAUAAAAUUAAACUUUUUACAAGAUGACAGAACUAUCUUCUUAAAGAACACAGAAACAAUCUGAGUUACAUUCAGGCCUCUUGAUACUAAAACCUUCUGAAACAUCAGAAGCGUCAAAAUGUUCCCCUGUGGAACUGUAAGUAUAGCUUCAUUUGGUCUCAGGUUGAGCCAUUACCUUUAAGGAGGUACUAUUUAUUACUGCCAACUUCAGUCAUCUCUUUAAGAAACU